GUCUGUGUGUCUGUAUGUGUGUGUCUCUGUAUGUAUGUGUCUGUAUGUGUGUUUCUCUGUAUGUAUGUAUCAUACAGACUCAUACAUACAGAGACACACACACAUACAG